rnacentral:rRNA from 1 species
AACGAACGCUGGCGGCAUGCCUAACACAUGCCAGUCGAACGAGACCUUCGGGUCUAGUGGCGCACGGGUGCGUAACGCGUGGGAACCUGCCCUUAGGUUCGGAAUAACUCCCCGAAAGGGGUGCUAAUACCGGAUAAUGUCUUCGGACCAAAGAUUUAUCGCCUUUGGAUGGGCCCGCGUUGGAAUAGCUAGUUGGUAGGGUAAAAGCCUACCAAGGCGACGAUCCAUAGCUGGUCUGAGAGGAUGAUCAGCCACACUGGGACUGAGACACGGCCCAGACUCCUACGGGAGGCAGCAGUGGGGAAUAUUGGACAAUGGGCGAAAGCCUGAUCCAGCAAUGCCGCGUGAGUGAUGAAGGCCUUAGGGUUGUAAAGCUCUUUUACCCGGGAUGAUAAUGACAGUACCGGGAGAAUAAGCUCCGGCUAACUCCGUG